CUGUUGUUUCCGACUCUUCCAAUAGCAGAAAGAGUUGACACGCGACAAGAGGAGGACACGAUGUGGGCAUCUUUUACGAGUUGUUUGCUGGCGCCUUUCCUUCCGUAACUGGCUCCGGAAUUGACUGACUUGGUCCAAUGCAGUGUUCAAGCUGUCACGUUGCUGCACCAACAACUGCUCCCAUUUCUGGGCAUACGCUGUAACAGAUAACAUUAAUAUCUGUCAGCCUGGAGCCAUAAAUCUAAGAACGAAGGCAGGAGAUUCAGAGUUAAAAUUUUUUGUCACAAAGAUGAUAUUCUGGCUGAUUUGGCAGAGAACCCUGUCACACUCCGGAUUAUUAUACGUCAAUUUACAAAUGCCUGUUUGUGUUUUUUGUUUGUUUUACAUUUAAUAUUUACGCACUAACAAUGAUUCGCUCUGGACACCUUACACGCUUUGUUUUUUAGUCAAUUAUUAUUUAGUCAAUAAUCGCAAGUGUAUAUUGUCAUUAUCGAAUACCUAAGCAACCAUGUGGAUUAAUCGUGAAGCAAGAGAUUAAUUUAAUUAAGAGGAUUUAAGCGUUAUUUUUUGGGGGAUUUUUUUUUUUCUCUUUUGUAACACAGUGAUGAGAACACACAAAUCCUUCUAUUUCACUUAAUAUUUUAUGUUAUUUUCUAAAUACAUGUAUAAUCGUUAAAUAGAAUUGUUUGGAAGAAUAAAUUGUGCACAGCUUUUUAUCAUUGACAUGCUAUUACUAUGACUGGCAUCGUGUAUCAUUCUGUUAUAAUAUAUUGAAUUAGCACAAAGAAAAUACAGCUGUUACAAAGGUAAUCCACACAAAAAUAAUAUUUAUUAACAAUAAUCUUCAUUUUGCAUACAUAACACAUUAAUAAUAUAUCGGCAAUUUAAAGGAUACACAUAGUUACUUUUUCAACGCACCAAUAAUAAUUUUAAAAUAAUUUACCUUUUCGUAUAUUUGUAGCAGUGGCUUAUAUACAGGAAGAAGAAUAAUUUCACGAAAACGCACUAAACAAUGCUUGCGGAAUGCUGUGCAAUGGAAGAAGAGAAAAUUAUAAGAGAAAAGAAAAAAGUUGAGUUUAUCCUGAGAUGACGCUAAUAUAAUCUUGGCUUUUC